rnacentral:tRNA from 1 species
UUAUUGUGGCAGAAUCAUGCAAUAGUUUUAAGCGCUAGUAAUAAGGUCGUCCUUCUAUUUU